rnacentral:rRNA from 1 species
UGAACGAAGAGUUUGAUCCUGGCUCAGGAUGAACCCUGACAGAAUGCUUAACACACAUGCAAGUCUACUUGAUCCUUCGGGUGAUGGUGGCGGACGGGUGAAUAACGCGUAAAGAACUUGCCCUGCAGACUGGGACAACAUUUGGAAACGAAUGCUAAUACCGGAUAUUAUGCGAGUCUCGCAUG